rnacentral:misc_RNA from 1 species
UAUCCGUUGGUGAACCAGCGGAGGGAUCAUUAAAGAGUUUUAACAACUCCCAAAACUUUCGAACCGGACCCAUUCUGUUCUCGUUGCUCCCGGCGGGGGGGACCGGGGGGCCCGAAACGACCUCCCCGCCCCGCCCGCCGGAGGCGGCUGGCCCAACGCACCUUUAUAUAUUAAUCACCAGAAACCGUCAGCGAAAACAAACAAAAUAAUUAAAACUUUCAACAACGGAUAUCUUAGCACUGGCAACGAGGAAGAACGUAGAAGAUCGGAAGAGCACAC